GCAUGUUCACGAGUGAGUGGGGACAAUGGAGCUGAGGACUGUGGAUGUUGGAGGCUUCAGGGAGAAGUGUCCCCAACCAAAGAACAUCUUAACCCUGUCUCCAAUCCAAGAUGAUCUUAACAUUGAGGGAUGGAACAACCCUUCACAGGACACAGCUGUGGAAAAUGGUAUCAACCCUCAUGAGGACAUUGAGGUAAGGGAAACUGUUGGACACAGUUUUAGUAAAAACAACUUGUGGCUUAAUCCCAGAAAAAGUCUUGAUCCUCUGGAGUUCCUGACAAGAGUCACACAAUUGUCCCUGGAACCAAAAUCUGCCACAUUCCCAAACACAGCU